AGUGUAAAGGCAUAAGGGAGCUUGACUGCGAGACCUACAAGUCGAGCAGGGUCGAAAGACGGACUUAGUGAUCCGGUGGUUCCGCAUGGAAGGGCCAUCGCUCAACGGAUAAAAGCUACCCCGGGGAUAACAGGCUUAUCUCCCCCAAGAGUUCACAUCGACGGGGAGGUUUGGCACCUCGAUGUCGGCUCAUCGCAUCCUGGGGCUGUAGUCGGUCCCAAGGGUUGGGCUGUUCGCCCAUUAAAGCGGUACGCGAGCUGGGUUCAGAACGUCGUGAGACAGUUCGGUCCCUAUCCGUCGUGGGCGUAGGAAAUUUGAGAGGAGCUGUCCUUAGUACGAGAGGACCGGGAUGGACAUACCUCUGGUGUACCAGUUGUCGUGCCAACGGCAUAGCUGGGUAGCUAUGUGUGGACGGGAUAAGUGCUGAAAGCAUCUAAGCAUGAAGCCCCCCUCAAGAUGAGAUUUCCCAACUUCGGUUAUAAGAUCCCUCAAAGAUGAUGAGGUUAAUAGGUUCGAGGUGGAAGCAUGGUGACAUGUGGAGCUGACGAAUACUAA
rnacentral:rRNA from 1 species